GGGUUGACAUUCGGCUGGUCUUUCGGGACGACGGACAUUCCGUCCUGGAACCAUGGCCCAAUUUGUCCGUAACCUUGCGGAGAAAGUCCCAGUGCUGGUGAACGCUGCUAUGACUUAUUCGAAGCCUCGACUGGCCACAUUUUGGUCCUACGCCAAGGUUGAACUGGUUCCUCCAACCCCUGCUGAGAUCUCUAGAGCUAUUCAGAGCCUGAAAAAAAUAAUCAGUAGCACUCAAACUGGUAGCUUCAAACAGCUCACAGUUAAGGAAGCUGUGCUGAAUGGUUUGGUGGCCACUGAGGUGUGGAUGUGGUUUUAUGUCGGAGAGAUCAUAGGCAAGCAUGGCAUCAUUGGUUAUAAUGUUUGAAGACCAGUCUUUAACAUCUGACGAUAUUUGACUUGUUAUCUGUGUGUUUUUGGACCAUAUGUGAUCAGACUGCUAUCUGAUCAAAAUAAGAUUUGUCAAAAAAAAAAA